rnacentral:misc_RNA from 1 species
CCUAGAGCUGUAGGCUUUGCCUGCUAUCUCUUACCCAUGUCUUUUGAGUACCUUCGUUUCCUCGGCGGGUCCGCCCGCCGAUUGGACAAUUUAAACCAUUUGCAGUUGCAAUCAGCGUCUGAAAAACCUUAAUAGUUA